rnacentral:rRNA from 1 species
UACACACCGCCCGUCACACCAUGGGAGUCGGUAACACCCAAAGUUGGUAGUCUAACCGCAAGGAGGACGCCGCCUAAGGUGGGAUUGAUGACUGGGGUGAAGUCGUAACAAGGUACC